UGAGGAAUAUUGGUCAAUGGGCGCGAGCCUGAACCAGCCAAGUAGCGUGAAGGAUGAAGGUCCUAUGGAUUGUAAACUUCUUUUAUAGCAGAAUAAAGUGACCCACGUGUGGGUUUUUGUAUGUAUGCUAUGAAUAAGGAUCGGCUAACUCCGUGCCAGCAGCCGCGGUAAUACGGAGGAUCCGAGCGUUAUCCGGAUUUAUUGGGUUUAAAGGGUGCGUAGGCGGAAAGAUAAGUCAGCCUGUGAAAGUUUGCGGCUCAACCGUAAAAUUGCAGUUGAUACUGUUUUUCUUGAGUGUACAUAAGGUAGGCGGAAUUCGUGGUGUAGCGGUGAAAUGCUUAGAUAUCACGAAGAACUCCGAUUGCGAAGGCAGCUUACCGGGGUACAACUGACGCUGAUGCACGAAAGUGUGGG
rnacentral:rRNA from 1 species